rnacentral:miRNA from 1 species
UUAGGUUGAUGCAAAAGUAAUUGUGGUUUUUGCCAUUAAAAGUAAGUGGCAAAAACCGCAAUAACUUUUGCACCAACCUAAUAA